rnacentral:rRNA from 1 species
AGCGAACGCUGGCGGCAGGUCUAACACAUGCAAGUCGAACGAACUCUUCGGAGUUAGUGGCGGACGGGUGAGUAACACGUGGGAACGUGCCUUUAGGUUCGGAAUAACUCAGGGAAACUUGUGCUAAUACCGAAUGUGCCCUUCGGGGGAAAGAUUUAUCGCCUUUAGAGCGGCCCGCGUCUGAUUAGCUAGUUGGUGAGGUAAAGGCUCACCAAGGCGACGAUCAGUAGCUGGUCUGAGAGGAUGAUCAGCCACAUUGGGACUGAGACACGGCCCAAACUCCUACGGGAGGCAGCAGUGGGGAAUCUUGCGCAAUGGGCGAAAGCCUGACGCAGCCAUGCCGCGUGAAUGAUGAAGGUCUUAGGAUUGUAAAAUUCUUUCACCGGGGACGAUAAUGACGGUACCCGGAGAAGAAGCCCCGGCUAACUUCGUG